CUUCACCGAGCCGAGCCACACCGGGUUGCUCCGGUCCUGCCCGUAGGUGGCCAGCACGGCCUGGGCCUC
rnacentral:antisense_RNA from 1 species